rnacentral:rRNA from 1 species
AUGAACGCUAGCGACAGGCCUAACACAUGCAAGUCGAGGGGCAGCACAAGGAGCAAUCUGAGGUGGCGACCGGCGCACGGGUGAGUAACACGUAUGCAACCUGCCUGUAAGCGGGGAAUAACCCGUUGAAAGACGGACUAAUACCGCAUAAUACUAAAUUACUGCAUGGUAAUUUAUUUAAACAUUUAUGGCUUACAGAUGGGCAUGCGCAUGAUUAGCUAGUUGGAGAGGUAACGGCUCCCCAAGGCAACGAUCAUUAGGGGUUCUGAGAGGAAGGUCCCCCACACUGGUACUGAGACACGGACCAGACUCCUACGGGAGGCAGCAGUGAGGAAUAUUGGUCAAUGGACGAGAGUCUGAACCAGCCAAGUCGCGUGCAGGAAGAAUGUCCUUAAUGGAUUGUAAACUGCUUUUGCAGGGGAAUAAAGUGCAUCACGUGUGAUGUUUUGUAUGUACUCUGCGGAUAAGGAUCGGCUAACUCCGUGCCAGCAGCAGC